rnacentral:sRNA from 12 species
GUACCGGACGGGAGUUAUACCGCAGUGACCCAUAGUUGUACAUCGAAGGAGAGCGACGACAGAUGUGCAGACGGUGC